rnacentral:rRNA from 1 species
GCCUGCAGUCAUACCACCUUAUGAACUGACCCCUCAGCUCUCCUAAGCUAAGCAGGUUCAGGCCAGCUCAAUUCUUAGAUGGCAGACCUCAAAGAAACACCCAAAUGCUGCAGGAU